AAAAGUUACUAAGGGCGUACGGCGGAUGCCUAGGCUUUGAGAGGCGAUGAAGGACGUGAUAAGCUGCGAUAAGCUUCGGGGAGUGGCACAUACACAUUAUAUCCGAAGAUUUCCGAAUGGGGCAACCCGGCAGGUUGAAGGCCUGUCACUGCGUAAGCAGAGCGAACGUGGGGAACUGAAACAUCUAAGUACCCAUAGGAAAAGAAAUCAAUUGAGAUUCCGUAAGUAGUGGCGAGCGAACGCGGAUUAGCCCUAAAGACCAUAUAUUUUUAGUAGAAUAACCUGGAAAGGUUAACCGAAGAGGGUGAUAGUCCUGUAAACGAAAAGGAUAUAUGGUUGAUAACGAGUAAGGCGGAACACGAGAAAUUCUGUCCGAAUAUGGGAGGACCAUCUUCCAAGGCUAAAUACUCCUCAAAGACCGAUAGUGAACUAGUACUGUGAAGGAAAGGUGAAAAGCAUAUCGAAUAGAUAGUUGAAAAUAGAUCCUGAAACCGUACGCCUACAAGCGGUCGGAGCCCUACGGGGUGACGGCGUGCCUUUUGCAUAAUGAUCCUACGAGUUAAUGUCACUGGCAAGGUUAAGUACUUCAGGUACGGAGCCGUAGCGAAAGCGAGUCUGAAUAGGGCGAUACAGUCAGUGGUAUUAGACGCGAAACCUUGUGAUCUACCCAUGGGCAGGUUGAAGCUUUGGUAACACAAAGUGGAGGACCGAACCGGUUGACGUUGAAAAAGUCUUCGGAUGACCUGUGGGUAGGGGUGAAAGGCCAAUCAAACUGGGAAAUAGCUCGUACUCCCCGAAAUGCAUUUAGGUGCAGCGUCAUGUGAAGUAUAUUAGAGGUAGAGCUACUGAUUGGAUGCGGGGGAGUCAAAUCCUACCAAUUCCUGACAAACUCCGAAUGCUAAUAUAUGUUUCAUGGCAGUGAGGGCAUGGGUGCUAAGGUCCAUGUCCGAGAGGGAAAGAACCCAGACCAUCAGCUAAGGUCCCCAAAUAUAUGCUAAGUUGAAUAAACGCGGUUGGAUUGCAUUGACAGCUAGGAUGUUAGCUUGGAAGCAGCUAUUCAUUUAACGAGUGCGUAACAGCUCACUAGUCGAGCGAUCCGGCAUGGAUAAUAAUCGGGCAUAAGCAUAUUACCGAAGCUAUGGAUUUGUACUGAAAUAUGUACAUCUGGUAGGGGAGCAUUCUAGCGGCGCAGAAGUCGUUCCGGCAAGGAGCGGUGGAGCUUCUAGAAAAGAAAAUGUAGGAAUGAGUAACGAUAAAAUAAGUGAGAAACUUAUUCGCCGUAAGACUAAGGUUUCCUCAGCUAUGCUAAUCAGCUGAGGGUUAGUCGGGACCUAACGCGAACCCGAAAGGGGUAGUGGAUGGCAAAUGGGUUAAUAUUCCCAUACCUGCUCUCAAUAAAAGUGACGAAUGAUCGUAGGAGGUGCGUACUGACGGAAUAGUACGUUGAACUUAGGUAAACUAAGGAUAGUACACAAAGGUUUCGGCUGGAGUGAUAACCCUCUGAAGAUUGUUCCAAGAAAUAGCGAGAGAAGCAGCCCGUACCGUAAACCGACACAGGUGGUCGAGGAGAGUAUCCUAAGGCGCUCGAGCGAUUCAUGGUUAAGGAAUUAGGCAAAAUAGCCCCGUAACUUCGGGAGAAGGGGCGCUGGUAGCAAUAUCAGCCUCAGUAAAAAGGCCCAGGCGACUGUUUAUCAAAAACACAGGACUCUGCUAAAUAGAAAUAUGACGUAUAGGGUCUGACACCUGCCCGGUGCUGGAAGGUUAAGGAAGGGGGUUAGAAGUAAUUCGAAGCUCUUAACUGAAGCCCCAGUAAACGGCGGCCGUAACUAUAACGGUCCUAAGGUAGCGAAAUUCCUUGUCGGGUAAGUUCCGACCUGCACGAAUGGUGUAACGAUCUGGGCACUGUCUCAACCAUGAUCUCGGUGAAAUUGUAGUAUCGGUGAAGAUGCCGGUUAAUCGCAACGGGACGAAAAGACCCUGUGAACCUUUACUAUAGCUUUGUAUUGACUUCGGGUAAAUAAUGUGUAGGAUAGGUGGGAGACUAUGAAGCAGCGUCGCUAGGCGUUGUGGAGUCAUUGUUGAAAUACCACCCUUUAUUUACUUGGAGCCUAACUUCUGAUUCAGAAGGACAGUGCAUGGUGGGUAGUUUGACUGGGGUGGUCGCCUCCAAAAGAGUAACGGAGGCUUUCAAAGGUACCCUCAGCACGCUUGGUAACCGUGCGUAGAGUGUAAUGGCAUAAGGGUGCUUGACUGUGAGGCCAACAAGCCGAGCAGGUGCGAAAGCAGGACAUAGUGAUCCGGUGGUUCCGUAUGGAAGGGCCAUCGCUCAAAGGAUAAAAGGUACUCCGGGGAUAACAGGCUAGUCUCCCCCAAGAGCUCACAUCGACGGGGAGGUUCGGCACCUCGAUGUCGGCUCGUCACAUCCUGGGGCUGGAGAAGGUCCCAAGGGUUGGGCUGUUCGCCCAUUAAAGUGGCACGCGAGCUGGGUUCAGAACGUCGUGAGACAGUUCGGUCUCUAUCUGUUGUGAUCGUUAGAAGUUUGAGCGGAGUUGACUCUAGUACGAGAGGACCGUGUUGAACAAACCUCUGGUGUAUCAGUUGUGCCGCCAGGUGCACCGCUGAGUAGCUACGUUUGGAAGAGAUAAGCGCUGAAAGCAUAUAAGCGCGAAACUCGCCGCAAGAUUAGACUUCUUUAAAGGGUCGUUGUAGACUACAACGUUGAUAGGCUAUAGAUGUAAAGGCAGUGAUGUCAUAGUCGAGUAGUACUAAUUACCCAUAGACUUUUUCAG
rnacentral:rRNA from 2 species